UUCAUUCUUCCAUUUGCAUAACAAUGAGGUCCAGUUCCAUAGCGCACCACACCCUGACUGCCCCACCACCUUUCACAAGUGACAAGCCAGCACCUAAAGAAGGUUCAACUUAAGUCCACAUAGGCACUCUCAGGAACAGUCCAGAGACAGGAUGAGCCCGGUAUGCACUAGCCACCACCCAGAACCAGAGCAACUGAUUGAACACGUAUUCGUUCCUGGCCACGAUGGACAAGUGUAAGGGAGUCCUGCAGGGUGAAGGAGGAGAGGUGUCAGUCAGGAUGGCCCUGAAUGCACACAGAAGCCGCAGCAGGAGGCGACCAGAAUCACCAACCACAAGAACGUCCACAUUUCUCCACAGGGCUUUUUCUACACUGGCAAACAGUGUCCCAAAACCAUGACCAAGUAGCAAAGAAUGAAAAUGGGUUUGCUUAUAUGUUACCCUUUACUAUUCAGAGCCAAAAGGAUAAGAAUAAAGGAAGAGAUAUAGUCUCCAAUUAAAUCCUGA